UGGGGAAUCUUGGACAAUGGGGGCAACCCUGAUCCAGCCAUGCCGCGUGAGUGAUGAAGGCCUUAGGGUCGUAAAGCUCUUUCGCCUGUGAAGAUAAUGACGGUAGCAGGUAAAGAAACCCCGGCUAACUCCGUGCCAGCAGCCGCGGUAAUACGGAGGGGGUUAGCGUUGUUCGGAAUUACUGGGCGUAAAGCGCACGUAGGCGGACCAGAAAGUUGGGGGUGAAAUCCCGGGGGCUCAACCCCGGAACUGCCUCCAAAACUAUUGGUCUAGAGUUCGAGAGAGGUGAGUGGAAUUCCAAGUGUAGAGGUGAAAUUCGUAGAUAUUUGGAGGAACACCAGUGGCGAAGGCGGCUCACUGGCUCGAUACUGACGCUGAGGUGCGAAAAGUGUGGGGAGCAAAACAGGAUUAGAUACCCCUGGUAGUCCACACCGUAAAACGAUGAAUGCCAGUCGUCGGGUAGCAUGCUAUUCGGUGACACACCUAACGGAUUAAGCAUUCCGCCUGGGGAGUACGUCGCAAGAUUAAAA
rnacentral:rRNA from 1 species